GGAAAGGCAGAAGCCCUAGGCUGUGCCCAACUGGGCAGGGAAGUCUUCCUCUUGUUACUGGUGGUCAGCUUGCAACACACACCUACGUGUGACAGUCAGCUCGCAGCACACACCUACGUGUCCCUUUCCUGCCACUCCCUUCAGCUUGCCUACCUCUGCAUUAGGGAUCAAAAUUAACGUCCUGGGAGGCUACCUGAAAAUUCAGAGUUAUCAUCACAGUGCCUUUUCCUUUGAAUCCAGGGUAAUGAAGCUUAACGAGAUCAGCAGUUCAAGAUCUCUUCAGUUCCUUUGAGUCCUUGAAUAUUUGUAGCGAGCCUCUGCUACCUGGGGCCAUCCUCUGAUGAAACUCAAAAAGAUCAUUUGUGCAGAGGCCCUCUUUCAUACAUGGUUCUAGUCCUUUGGCUGGGCAGCUUUCAUUCUUGACAGUAGAUCUCAAAGAUUUUAUUGCAUGUGCCUGCCUAUAUGGCCACAGCUCUCGCUUUUAGAUGGAUAACUUGCACUCAUCAUCUGUGUUUUUGUCAUUUCUGGCUUGCUCCUGAAGCACAUCCUUCACGUGGGGCUGCAUUGCAAUUUAAUUGGAAGCAGAUUGUGGUGCAGAAGGCAAUCGCGCACCUGGUAUCCGCAUCUCUGCUCUGGGAACAAGGUCGGCUACUUUCGAGUGACCUGAUUUGAGUAUGAUGGUUUGGGCCUAGGAAGCUCAGAGCCUCCAGGGAAAAUCCUUCCUAAGACAAAUACUCAGUGAUGCAUCUCUCAGAGAUGCAGGCAUUAGAAGCAUUGAUGACUGGAUUAUGUUCCUUUCAAAAUAACAGCCAAAGUAUAGCCAGCAAGAUACUCCUAAAAAGCUUCCUUGGCUUCAUAAAUCCCGUCCUGCAGUCUGACACCAUCUGUAUUUAUUGACUUUUAGGACAUGCUACAAGACCCAUGUGUUGGAGCAGCUCUUUGAGGAGCCUUAAGAGGACCGGUUGAUGAAUGGGGCUACAGUGUUUAUUUACUUCAGUUUGGUAGAAGCAGUGAGUCAAUUAUAUUGCAUUUUGGUUCCGCAGUUCUCAGUUGGCAGAGUGCUUAGAGCCUAUGUAGGAACACAUUUUAUUUAUUUUAAAUAUCUGAAAAAAAUCUGAAUAAAUAAAAUGAUGCAGUUGGUGUAAGAUU